rnacentral:rRNA from 1 species
UCCGUAGGUGAACCUGCGGAGGGAUCAUUACCGAGUUUACAACUCCCAAACCCAAUGUGAACGUUACCAAACUGUUGCCUCGGCGGGAUCUCUGCCCCGGGUGCGUCGCAGCCCCGGACCAAGGCGCCCGCCGGAGGACCAACCAAAACUCUUAUUGUAUACCCCCUCGCGGGUUUUUUUUAUAAUCUGAGCCUUCUCGGCGCCUCUCGUAGGCGUUUCGAAAAUGAAUCAAAAUUUUCAACAACGGAUCUCUUGGUUCUGGCAUCGAUGAAGAACGCAGCGAAAUGCGAUAAGUAAUGUGAAUUGCAGAAUUCAGUGAAUCAUCGAAUCUUUGAACGCACAUUGCGCCCGCCAGUAUUCUGGCGGGCAUGCCUGUCCAAGCGUCAUUUCAACCCUCGAACCCCUCCGGGGGGUCGGCGUUGGGGAUCGGCCCUGCCUUGGCGGUGGCCGUCUCCGAAAUACAGUGGCGGUCUCGCCGCAGCCUCUCCUGCGCAGUAGUUUGCACACUCGCAUCGGGAGCGCGGCGCGUCCACAGCCGUUAAACACCCAACUUCUGAAAUGUUGACCUCGGAUCAGGUAGGAAUACCCGCUGAACUUAAGCAUAUCAAUAAGCGGAGGA